CUAUGGCUUGAAUUUAAGUCAUGGCGGAAGGAG
rnacentral:ncRNA from 1 species